rnacentral:rRNA from 1 species
GACGAACGCUGGCGGCGUGCCUAACACAUGCAAGUCGAACGGAAAGGCCCUGCUUCUGUGGGGUCCUCGAGUGGCGAACGGGGGAGUAACACGUGAGUAACCUGCCCCCGAUAAUGGGAUAACUUCAGGAAACUGGGGCUAAUACCGGAUAGGAGCUCAUGCUGCAUGGUGGGGGAUGGAAAGUUUCGGCGGUUGGGGAUGGACUCUCGGCUUAUCAGCCCGUUGGUGGGGUAGUGGCUUCCCACGGCUUUGCAGGGUAGCCGGCCUGAGCGGGUGACCGGCCACAUGACUCCUGAGAUACGGCGCAGUCUCCAACGUGACGCAACGGUGGAGAGCAUUACGCAAUAGGCGGGCGCCAGAUGCAACAGCGCCGCGUGCGGGAUGACGUGUUUCGAGUUGUGAACCGAUGUCGCCUGAGACGAGGCGUUAUUGACGGUACUGGGUAAAGAAGCCCCGGCUAACUACGUG